rnacentral:lncRNA from 1 species
AUUCUAAUGAUAGGCGGCAGCCAUCAAGCCCUGGGCUAAACAGCGCCAGUAAACCCAGUGUAAAUAGCUGUUUGUACCGCGGGACACAGGAGAGAGGUGCUCAAUACAGCAGGAAAGAUGCCUGAGUCAACUGCUCUCGUAGGCGUGAAGGCCCACUUUUAGCAAACCAACAGUUGUGACUCAAAAUACAUGAAAACAACUCCCACGUGGCAAUUUCCAUCCAUGGGGAGCACCAAGCAGGGACACCAGGGGGACUCCAUGCACAGUGAAGAUAGCAACAGCUUGGUGUUAUCAGUUCCUCCCGGAUGAGAGCAUCAGUGUCCUGCAGGCCUGCUGUCCAUAGGGGAGCCUCUAAGCCCCUAUAUGGCUUUUUGCUUUAAAUCAAUCAAAAUUAAACACUAUUAAAACUC